CUUCCUUUAAUAUCUGAUUGUAUCUUAAUUUUUUUUUUCAUCCUCCAGCACCUCAGUAAAACUCUGAAUUUCAGCUCAUCUGCAAGUCAAGGUUUCUUCUAGUUACAUAGCCCCAGUCUCCAGGUGAAGAAAUCCAGGGAAAACAAGAUAAAAAUUUCUCCCCAUUACAUACAUAAGACAUGUCUGAAAAAACAAACGUUACAAUUACACAUGAAAUCAAUCCGUUCCUAAAGUCUGAAAUGAACAUGAGCCCUCAAUUCUGCAGUUCUCUCCAUUUGCUCUUCUCAGAAUUCUGAGAUGCUUCAUCAAAGUUGCUCAGAAAUAGUGAAAUACUAACAAAUUAUUUGUAAUACUCUUUCAACUUCUGUUAUACUGAUUUCUGCACAACAGAAAGUAACUUUCACUCCUGCUCUUAUUGCUAAUGGUUGAAAUACUCACUUCAAUGCUCUUGAGCAGAUCUUUGUAGACCCAUGUCUGAAACACACCAUUCAACAAUCGCUGGCUUAAGCUACUGUUCUGCCUUAUAUAGAAAAUUGUUUCUUUGGUAAUGACUCACUAUUGUUUUUCUAGUUUUGUUUUUUUUAAGACACCAGCAUAAAGAUCCAGUUAUUAGAUGUUUCUGCUACUGAUUAUAGCUAUCACAUAAUAAUUUACAGAGAUAGUUCUGUCCGCUGGACUUCUGUCUAGUGGAUAUCAUCAGAUGAAACAAUGCAAGAUGUAGUGAGGAAGAUUAUUUGCACAUAAAUAAAAUUUUCAAAACAAAAAGUCUGUGAUGAAUGCAAUAAACUUACUAUAAUCUAAUAUCAUGAAAGGCUUUUGAAAAAAAUCUAUGAAUGGUUACAUAUUUUUCCAGGUAAUUAAGUCAAAUGAAACUACAGAGUUUCUGGCUUCUCACCCAGCAGUUCAAAUAGGGAUUUGUUUGGUUUUUUUGACCUGCAGCAGUAAUUAGUUUCUGGCUAGAAAUUGCUUUUCCAUGAAACCACAGUACAACAGAAGGUGAGAAGACAAAAUUAAUCCAGGAAGCAUUGCUUUUUGGAAGAAUCAGCACAAAUGAACUGAAGUAAUACUCCAGACUUCAGCUGCUCUCCUGCUGCCAAUAUGCUAGUUGAGAUGGGAAAGUGUGUCUGACACAGCAUUUUAAUUGUACUAAACAAGCAAAAAAAUCUUCAUAAUAAAAAACACUUAUGCAAUGAGA